rnacentral:lncRNA from 1 species
GGGGACACCACGGGGAUGGGGACACCCGGCACGGGGACGCCGCGGGGAUGGGGACACCGCGGGGACGGGGACGCCGCGGGGACGGGGACCCCCGGCACGGGGACACCGCGGGGAUGGGGACACCCGGCAUGGGGAUGCUGCGGGGACGGGGACCCCCGGCACCGGGACACUGCGGGGAUGGGGACAGGGACACUGCGGGGACAGGGACACCCCACACGGGGACGCCGCGGGGACGGGGACGCUGCGGGGACGGGGACCCCCGGCACAGGGACACCGCGGGGAUGGGGACACCCGGCACGGGGAUGCUGCGGGGACGGGGACGCCGCGGGGACAGGGAUCCCCGGCACGGGGACACCGCGGGGAUGGGGACACCCGGCAUGGGGAUGCUGCGGGGACAGGGACACCACAGGGACAGGGACACCGCAGGGACGGGGACGCCAUGGGGACAGGGACCCCCGGCACAGGGACGCCGCGGGGACGGGGACACCACGGGGACAGGGACACCACGGGGACAAGAACACCGCGGGGACAAGGACACCGCGGGGACAAGGACACCCUGCAUGGGGAUCCUGCAGGGACGGGGAUGCCACAGGGAUGGGGUCACCCGGCACAGGGAUGGGGACACCAUGGGGAUGGGGACACCGUGGGGACGGGGACACCCAGCACGGGGACACCGCGGGGACAGGGACACCCCACAUGGGGAUGCUACGGGGACGCCAUGGGGAUGGGGACACCCAGCACGGCGGACGCCACGGGGAUGGGGUCACCCGGCACGGGGACACUGCGGGGACGCGGACACCACGGGGAUGGGGACACCACGGGGACGGGGACGCCUGGCACGGGGAUGGGGACGCUGCAGGGAUGGGGACACCGCGGGGACGGGGACGCCGUGGGGACAGGAACCCCCAGCACAGGGAUGCCAUGGGAAUGCGGAUGCCGCGGGGACACCCAGCACAGGGACAGGGAUACCACAGGGACGAGGAUGCUGCAGGGAUGGGGACGCCCGGCACGGGGACUCCGUGGGGAUGGGGAUGCCACGGGGACGGGGAUGCUGUGGGGAUGGGACAGCUCUGGGCAUGGGGACACCUUGGGGACAGGGACUCCUGGCACGGGGACGCCGUGGGGAUGGGGACACCGCAGGGACGGGAUGGUCCUGGGGACAGGGACAGGGCCCCAUGGGGAACAGGAACUCCCUGGGGAUGGGGACACCCCUGGGGAUGGGGACACCCCUGGGGACCCCCCCGCCCGGGGACAGUGACCCCCCCGGGGACAGGGACACCCCCGGGGACCCCCCCCCCGGGGACCCCGCUGACCUGGAGGGGGCCCAGGCGCUCCCGCAGGGCCGCCAGCUCCCGGUCCCGGCG